UACGUAGGGCGCAAGCGUUGUCCGGAAUUAUUGGGCGUAAAGAGCUCGUAGGCGGUCUGUCGCGUCUGUUGUGAAAACUCGAGGCUCAACCUCGGGCUUGCAGUGGAUACGGGCAGACUAGAGUGCGGUAGGGGAGACUGGAAUUCCUGGUGUAGCGGUGGAAUGCGCAGAUAUCUGGAGGAAUACCGGUGGCGAAGGCGGCAUCCUGGACCGAUAUUGACACUGAUGAGCGAAAGCCAGGGGAGCAAACGGG
rnacentral:rRNA from 1 species